GGUGAAACCAAGGCAAUGUGCUAAUGUGUCAGACUUUAUGUAUUCAAACAAGCAAGCCAUGGUCUCUUUACCUGUGGCUGUGUUGGCUUUGCCCUGUUUGGAAGUAGGAAACCCUUCAUUGAGUCAAUUCAGCAAAGAUGACUCUAAAUGUUCAUGGAAAAUGAGUCUGCACAGUGAGCGGGUGCCAUCUUUGUGCAGUGUAAUUGUCUUGCAUGGAGACUGAGGAGUGGGUUUGCUGAAGGAGAAGUGAAUUAUCUUGCCUUCAUCAGUGUUUUGAGUAAUAUUUCUGUGACACUUCAGCUUCAACACCUUCCACAUACACAUAACAAACAGUAAACAAAGUCACUAUGAGACCACAGGGCAAGAAAACACCUUGAUCUUUGUUACACUGAAGCCUGGUCAUUCCUGGCACUGGCUUCACAAAUUCUUGAGCACCUGAGCUCUGAGCUGGGAAACAAAGUCCAGUUAAGAAUAUGACAACAAAUAAAGGCUUUGGCUGCCCUACUACUGAGUCACAUGGGAGGAGGUUCAAGUGAAAAAAAAUCUCUGUUGGAUUUCAAAUACCCACAAAAGAAGUUUUUUCGGAAAGAUUUGCAAAACAAGCCUUCAAACAGGAACAGAAGGGUUGUGUAGAGGUGCAUGGUGGUAACACAUUACAA